rnacentral:rRNA from 1 species
CCUACGGGGGGCAGCAGUAGGGAAUAUUCCACAAUGGGCGAAAGCCUGAUGGAGCAACGCCGCGUGGGUGAAGAAGGUCUUCGGAUCGUAAAACCCUGUUGUUAGAGAAGAAAGUGCGUGAGAGUAACUGUUCACGUUUCGACGGUAUCUAACCAGAAAGCCACGGCUAACUACGUGCCAGCAGCCGCGGUAAUACGUAGGUGGCAAGCGUUAUCCGGAUUUAUUGGGCGUAAAGGGAACGCAGGCGGUCUUUUAAGUCUGAUGUGAAAGCCUUCGGCUUAACCGGAGUAGUGCAUUGGAAACUGGGAGACUUGAGUGCAGAAGAGGAGAGUGGAACUCCAUGUGUAGCGGUGAAAUGCGUAGAGAUAUGGAAGAACACCAGUGGCGAAAGCGGCUCUCUGGGCUGUAACUGACGCUGAGGUUCGAAAGCGUGGGUAGCAAACAGGAUUAGAUACCCGAGUAGUC